CCUACGGGAGGCAGCAGUGAGGAAUAUUGGUCAAUGGGCGCGAGCCUGAACCAGCCAAGUCGCGUGAGGGAAGACGGUCCUAUGGAUUGUAAACCUCUUUUGUCGGGGAGCAAAAGACGCCACGCGUGGCGUUCCGAGAGUACCCGACGAACAAGCAUCGGCAAACCCCGUGCCAACAGCCGCGGUAAUACGGGGGAUGCGAGCGUUAUCCGGAUUUGUUGGGUUUAAAGGGUGCGCAGGCGGAAGAUCAAGUCGGCGGUAAAAUUGAGAGGCUCAACCUCUUCGAGCCGUUGAAACUGGUUUGCUUGAGUGAGUGAGAGGUAGGCGGAAUGCGUGGUGUAGCGGUGAAAUGCAUAGAUAUCACGCAGAACUCCGAUUGCGAAGGCAGCAUACCGGCGCUCAACUGACGCUCAUGCACGAAAGUGUGGGUAGCGAACAGGAUUAGAUACCCCAGUAGUC
rnacentral:rRNA from 1 species